ensembl:lncRNA LINC01273 long intergenic non-protein coding RNA 1273
GGUUGACGUGGGAAUACAGCUGGGCACACAGGAGGCCCUCAGUGGAGGCUGGUUUCUUUGGCCCAGUGCCACAUGGAGCCCGUCCACUGGCUGAGCUGGGGGCCUGAUUGUGGCCACUCAACGUCUCUGUAAAGCUCAGGGUCUGCCUUGAGAUCCUGCACUUACCACGGAGUGGCCCUGCCUUGGGGACCCAUCUCACCUCACUUCUGCCCUCCUUUCUGGUUCAUGACUCAGCCAUCCACUAACCUCCCGUGGUAGCACUGUGGCCACUCUGUAAACGACAGCACCACUGGUGUCUCAUUGGGGGCCAGUCUGGAAGAGGGAGACCACCCUAGGCAUUUCAGACAGAAGGGAUGGAAUACAGGCAUUGCUUACACAGAGGACGGACGAGCCGAGAUGCAGAAAGGCCAGGUGAAGCAUUGGCCACAGCUGGAGGCGCUCCACCCUAGGCCAGCGGGACAGAAGGAAGCUGGGUCCGAGAAGCCAGGGCUUGGAGCCACAGUGGGGGCUGCCUGGAAGAACAUUCCAACACAGACCACAACACCUAUGGACCUGGAAAACAUUGUGCUCAGUGAAAGAAGCCAGACACAGAAGGACAAUGUUGUAUGAGGGACACAUUCCAGCAAAAAGACACAAAGUGACAGAAUGGCUGCCUUUGAGUGGGGGUGAGAAGAGGUGGAUGGCAGGUACCAGAAGAGAAGGGAAUAAAUAUAUGAAGAAAUACAACCCCCUCGGGCAGUGCCUGGCACAGCAUAAAUGCCCAGGAAAAAGAGGCCCAGUUGCUUACGUUCCCGGCGACAGGGCCGGGACCAGCGCCGGCUUCCUGGUGAAGGAGGCCACCCUUUCCUCUUGAGGGGUCUGAGUAUGCAUGUCAGCACCCGGUGGGCACCCAGCACCCAGCUGACCAGGGGCCUUCACCUCUGUGGGGGUUACCGGCCUGGCCCUGAGAACUGGAUGAAAGCUGGAAUAAUUCUUUCUGUAAUAAAGCAAACGCAACCACGU